rnacentral:rRNA from 1 species
GACGAACGCUGGCGGCGUGCUUAACACAUGCAAGUCGAACGGAAAGGCCCUGCUUUUGUGGGGUGCUCGAGUGGCGAACGGGUGAGUAACACGUGAGUAACCUGCCCGUGACUUUGGGAUAACUUCAGGAAACCGGGGCAAAUACCGGAUAGGAGCUCCUGCUGAAGGGUGGGGGCUGGAAAGUUUCGGCGGUUGGGGCUGGACUCGGGGCUUAUCAGCUUGGUGGGGGGGUAGUGGCAUAACAAGGCCUUGACGGGUAGCCGGCCUGAGAGGGUGGCCGGGCACCUUGCGCCUGCGGUACGCCGCAGUCUCCUACUUUGGGCAGCAGUGGGGAACCUUGCCCAACGGGCGGACGCCUGUUGCAGCAGCGCCGCGUGCGGGAUGCCGGCCUUCGGGUUGUAAACCGCUUUCCCCUGUGACGGUGCGUGGGUGACGGUACUGGGUGAAGAAGCACCGGCUAACUACGUG